AUUGAACGCUGGCGGCAGGCCUAACACAUGCAAGUCGAACGAGUGGCGGACGGGUGAGUAAUGUCUGGGAAACUGCCCGGUGGCGGGGGAUAACUACUGGAAACGGUAGCUAAUACCGCAUACCAUCGGAUGUGCCCAGAUGGGAUUAGCUAGUAGGGGGUGUACUGGCUCACCUAGGCGACGAUCCCUAGCUGGUCUGAGAGGAUGACCAGACACACUGGAACUGAGACACGGUCCAGACUCCUACGGGAGGCAGCAGUGGGGAAUAUUGCACAAUGGGCGCAAGCCUGAUGCAGCCAUGCCGCGUGUAUGAAGAAGGCCUUCGGGUUGUAAAGUACUUUCAGCAGGGAGGCGUUACCCGCAGAAGAAGCACCGGCUAACUCCGUGCCAGCAGCCGCGGUAAUUC
rnacentral:rRNA from 1 species